rnacentral:tRNA from 1 species
GCCCAGGUGGCGAAAUUGGUAGACGCACCAGAUUUAGGUUCUGGCGCCGCAAGGUGUAAGAGUUCGAGUCUCUUCCUGGGCACCA